rnacentral:rRNA from 1 species
GCGACGGGUGAGUACACGUGGGCAAUCUGCCCUUCACUCUGGGACAAGCCCUGGAAACGGGGUCUAAUACCGGAUAAUACUCUGUCCCGCAUGGGACGGGGUUGAAAGCUCCGGCGGUGAAGGAUGAGCCCGCGGCCUAUCAGCUUGUUGGUGGGGUAAUGGCCUACCAAGGCGACGACGGGUAGCCGGCCUGAGAGGGCGACCGGCCACACUGGGACUGAGACACGGCCCAGACUCCUACGGGAGGCAGCAGUGGGGAAUAUUGCACAAUGGGCGAAAGCCUGAUGCAGCGACGCCGCGUGAGGGAUGACGGCCUUCGGGUUGUAAACCUCUUUCAGCAGGGAAGAAGCGAAAGUGACGGUACCUGCAGAAGAAGCGCCGGCUAACUACGUGCCAGCAGCCGCGGGUAAUACG